GCAUUGAUUGUUGUAACAGUAGCAAUGUGGCCAACAUUAGCUUUGAUGGUAGUUGUAGCGAUAAUGUGGCUAACAUUAGCUUAGGUGGUAGUAGUA